rnacentral:rRNA from 1 species
UGGGGAAUAUUGCACAAUGGGCGCAAGCCUGAUGCAGCGACGCCGCGUGGGGGAUGACGGCCUUCGGGUUGUAAACUCCUUUCGCCAGGGACGAAGCGUUUUGUGACGGUACCUGGAGAAGAAGCACCGGCUAACUACGUGCCGGCAGCCGCGGUAAUACGUAGGGUGCAAGCGUUGUCCGGAAUUACUGGGCGUAAAGAGCUCGUAGGUGGUUUGUCACGUCGUCUGUGAAAUUCCACAGCUUAACUGUGGGCGUGCAGGCGAUACGGGCUGACUUGAGUACUGUAGGGGUAACUGGAAUUCCUGGUGUAGCGGUGAAAUGCGCAGAUAUCAGGAGGAACACCGAUGGCGAAGGCAGGUUACUGGGCAGUUACUGACGCUGAGGAGCGAAAGCAUGGGUAGCAAACAGGAUUAGAUACCCUGGUAGUCCAUGCCGUAAACGGUGGGCGCUAGGUGUAGGGACCUUUUGGGGUUUCUGUGCCGUAGCUAACGCAUUAAGCGCCCCGCCUGGGGAGUACGGCCGCAAGGCUA